GAUGAACGCUGGCGGCGUGCCUAAUACAUGCAAGUCGAGCGAACAGACGAGGAGCUUGCUCCUCUGACGUUAGCGGCGGACGGGUGAGUAACACGUGGAUAACCUACCUAUAAGACUGGGAUAACUUCGGGAAACCGGAGCUAAUACCGGAUAAUAUAUUGAACCGCAUGGUUCAAUAGUGAAAGACGGUUUUGCUGUCACUUAUAGAUGGAUCCGCGCCGCAUUAGCUAGUUGGUAAGGUAACGGCUUACCAAGGCGACGAUGCGUAGCCGACCUGAGAGGGUGAUCGGCCACACUGGAACUGAGACACGGUCCAGACUCCUACGGGAGGCAGCAGUAGGGAAUAUUCCGCAAUGGGCGAAAGCCUGACGGAGCAACGCCGCGUGAGUGAUGAAGGUCUUCGGAUCGUAAAACUCUGUUAUUAGGGAAGAACAAAUGUGGAAGUAACUAUGGACGUCUUGACGGUACCUAAUCAGAAAGCAACGGCUAACUACGUG
rnacentral:rRNA from 1 species